rnacentral:rRNA from 1 species
UACGUAGGGUGCAAGCGUUGUCCGGAAUUAUUGGGCGUAAAGAGCUCGUAGGCGGUUUGUCGCGUCUGCUGUGAAAACUCGGGGCUUAACUCCGGGCCUGCAGUGGGUACGGGCAGACUAGAGUGCGGUAGGGGAGACUGGAAUUCCUGGUGUAGCGGUGAAAUGCGCAGAUAUCAGGAGGAACACCGGUGGCGAAGGCGGGUCUCUGGGCCAUAACUGACGCUGAGGAGCGAAAGCGUGGGGAGCGAACAGG